GCGGUUCUGCUCCCAAGACUGGUGUCCGGAGCCAGACAGUGCGCAACCCUGCCCCACCGGAGCCGAAGCCUCUUCGUCAGCACCACGGACAGCUCGCGCGCCUGAAAGAGGGAGGCGCGAGGAGCGCUCUCUGCACCAACGCCAGGAGAAGGAAGUGCAGCCUCGGCAAGCGGGGGAGGAAGAGAGAAAGGGAAGGACGGCUCCCGGGCAGGGAGUGGAAGAAAUCUGGGAGCAGCCUGAGCAGCAGAUUCUGGGGGGAGCUAUUCCAAGGCACUGCCCUUCUUAUGCAGGCAGACACUGCUAAGCUUCUCUGCGCUGCUUCCCAGUCCCUCUGGGCAGACGUUGCGGUCUAGUCCUGACUCCAGAAUCUAAAAUGCAAUGGCCAGAAGACAAGAAAGUGUCACCAGAAAUAUGUGGACAUGGACUCCAGGACUGCUAAUAAUGAGUGUGAUCUUCUGCGGACAGCAGGGUUAUGGACAAGGCCAAGGUAGGUGCAAGCACGUUCUAAUUCUCAGAGAGCUGGAUACACGUUCCAAUCUUACCUUCAUGUUUUAAGCAAUUUGUUGUCUUUUCAUAAACUUUCUUCUCAAAGUGUACUGUAAUGCAUCCGAAUCAGUUAAAUUGGAUUACCACUGGUUAUGAACCAGUAUAUCAAAUUUUAAGCCAUCUGACACUGGUAUUAUGCUGUUGUGGUAGAUGCUGUGUGUGUGAGCUAGCACAUGUGUUUUUGUGUUGUAGAAUUUUACAAGAGCGUUCAGCAUGUAUAGAUUUUACAUUUUUGGAGAAGUUUUUGGAUCUUCUUUUCAUUAGUGGUUUUUUAGUUUGAACUUAAGUAUUUAAAUUUCAAGAGCAUAUUCUAAAGGGAUGUGAUGUCUUCCAGAAAUUAAGUGAAAAAUUUGAUGUAGCUGUUGCCCUGCCAGUUGUAUCUGGGAGAAAGGAAUGAUGCAUUGGAGCUGCAAGUUUGUGUCCUCUAGUAAAGUCCUUCUUUCAAGGGUUGUAAAGGGCCAUAGAUUGUGCAACAAUGUUGUCAAUAAGCUGAUUCGAUCAAUAGCUUUGUGGAGUGGCUUAUAUCAGAAUUAGUUUCUGUGAAGGUGCUUUGUGGUAAGUGUUGUUUGUUGAGGUGGGUUGCCUGGCAAAGAUAGAUUGUAAUUUAAUAAUUUAUAGGAUUAAAAAAAGAGUUCUAACUACACCAUUGAUAUAUUUUAAACUCGGAGGUAAGUUUAUUUAACAUUGUUUCUACAUUUGUCACAACAUAAAAUGAAAUCUGUGAGCAAGAAACGUGUAGAUAUGGGUAGCAAUAUUCCAGAUAAAAUAGUAAAUCUGUACUAAUAGUACACACACACACACACACACACAAAGGUUAUGGAGUUGAGUUUUACAGUGCUUUGAUUUCCAAAAUAUCCAAAAAAUAUUGUAUGUAUUCAAAUGUGUUUAACUUAUUUUAAAAGAUGCUCAAAAAAGAGCAUUGCUUGCUGUUUACAAUUUUGUUCAAUGAAUUUUUGAAAUGCAAGGAUUUUUUUAAAAAAUAUAAAUGCUUAUGCAUCUUUGUGUACAGAUGUAUAUGCACACAAUCUUAAUAACUAAAUGAGUUUUACUUCCCUAUCAUUAAGGAUUUAUGUCAGCAUGUGGUAGAAUCUUCAUGCCCCUUUUCUGUAAAAUAAUGUAAGAAAAUAAUAUUUCAUACAACAUAGUAUUUUCUUACUGAAGAUCUAAUAUAAGCAUUGGUAGAGAGUAGCUCCCUCAUAGUUCAUUUGCCCAAGAUUUGUUUAUUACUCUGGUAAUGUGUUGGAUAUCUUAAAUGCAGCAUGACAAUUGUUUCUCUGCAAUAGUGACCCAGCAGGACAUGCAGUAUUCUGUAGGCUUGCCCAAACCAUUCCUUGGCCAUCCCUUCCAAGGGUUAUGGCUUGUUCUAGUGGGUAAUAGUUUAUAGAAUAUUUAAAAAUACUUGGAGAAAAAUAAGCAUCUUCUCUCUUAUUUGUCCAAAGCCUUUGCUCUUAUAUUGAUUGAAUUAUAUCAAUAUUGAUUGCUCAAAUCCUUUGAUUGUGACCAUCAUUUGUUAAGGAUGCACUGAAAUCAAUUCCAAGUUUUGCUAUGUGAAACUUCUCAUGGUAAAUGCAAGUUAAGUAAUUUAGUUUCCUUUUAAAAGAAUAAAUUAAAAUAGACAAUGAUUCAAAGGAUAAAACAACUUAAUAGAAAACAUAAUGGAAUGCUUUAAUAUUAUGGCUAGGCAAAUUGUUUCCUCUACAAUAGCAAGAUUGAGUGAAGCAGAUUUCUUAGGCAUAAUGAGCAAAUCUUAUAAUUUCAAAUACAACCCAAGUUACAUAUUAUUAUUAAGGAUCAAUAAAGCUCAUUGUGUUUUGAAUGUUAUUUUUCACUUUUGGAUAUGCAUCUAAGCCAAAUUUAAAAAUGAAAAUUUUAGAUUAAACUUUACAUUACCAGACAGCUUUUUAAAUAAAAAGCUCCUUAUUUUGAUAAGAAAAUGAAGCACUAAAAAUCUAAAAAAAUAAAACUUUCAUUAUAUUAUUUAUAGCUUUUCCUUAAACAUUGGUUAUUGUGACUCCCAAAGUUGGGAAUUAAGGUUGAGCAUCAAUGAAAAAUGACCCUUACAAAAAUGUACCUGUAAAAUUAAUGAAGUUCUUUCCACAUAAAUUUGAAACGGUAGGGAUAAUUGUAAAGUUACAAGUUCUUUGUAUUUGUGAGUAUAUUAUAUUCUAAUAGUUGGUAAAUCAUUGGGAAAUCUGGAUGUCCUUUCCCAAUGAAACCGUGAUAGAAAUGGUAGUUAAGUUGUGAGAAGGAAAAGAUCCAUUUAAUUGAGAAUGGAAAAGACGCAUCAUACUUGGUAUGUGUGCAUCCACCACUUAGAGUGUAACAGAGUAUUCUAUUAAAGAGUAAUAGAGUCUGAUUCUAAGUAAGAAUGUUGGUCCAUGAGCCUUCUAGGGGUACCAGUAUCAAACUAUAAGGAAAGGGAUGGACAAUGUUUUGGAAUCAGGUGGAUAUCCUUUGUCUAUUUUUUUUAGAUAGGCCGAGAAAAGCAUUGCCUUGGACAUGGUUUCCCUGACAUGUGACUUGUAGAGUGUGGUGCUUUUUCAUACCCUGUUUUGGAAUUGGUCCAUCUCAAUGCUGUUUAGGUCAUUUGUACUGUAGAACCUACUUAAUAUGUGGAAAUGAACCUAAACCUUAAGAUGAAGUAGAAUGCAGGUGAAUUCUAGAAAAAAAUACAGAUUUUUUUUUUUUCUUUUACGGAACAAACUGUCAUGGAUAGUUGUAUACAAAUACAUUUCCAAACACUGUUAGAUAUUGAUUCGUGAUAAUCUAGUUAAAACUGAGCUGAUAUAUUGUAAAUAUAGUAGUAAUGUAUAGCACAACCGACAAAAAUGUGUUGCCUGGGAAGAGGUUCUGUAGAGAGCCCUGGAGAGUCUAACAGUUUCAUAAAAUUCUAGGAGAUGAUGGUGGUAGUUAUGUUCAGAAUUGAAAAAUUAUUUCUGAGCUCAGCAAUCUAAUUUGUACAAAAAAUGCUUAAGUUAAAAUAUCUACCUUAUUGUAUUGAAGUAAUAAAAAUUAUUUUACAAAGUAAGUGCAAUGUGUGAAUGCCAAGUGCUUAGGGUAAAGGUGAAUGUUGGAUAAAAAUUAAGAUAAUGAUUAUGACUUUAGUCAUAGGUAAAUAGGUAAACUAUUCCUAAGUAUUAUUUGAUAAAUCAUUUAAAAAGCUGUUUUUACUUUAAUGGCUUUAGUAAAGGAGUAAUAUAUAUUUUUGUUAGAUAAGAAGGUUAUGUUAUUUUUCUGGUAUAUAAGAGUAACAUCAAGAAUGGAAUGGAUAUUAUAUUACAGUCUGUUUGGAAAAGUGAGUAUGCCAGUUUUUUGAAUUACUGUUGUUUCAGUGUUAUUUUUUUCUAAUUAGAAUUUAUAUAUAGUAUGAUUUUCACAUGUUUGAAUACACAGGGAAUUUUAAUCAACUGAAUUUCCCAGAUAUGUUUACUUCUUAAGUUCCAAAUAGUAGUUCUGAUAGAAGAUGUGAAAGCUUUUGAAACUGAGGAAGGAAGCAGGGUGCACUCAUGCAACACACUUAGAUUUUGAUGACAAAUCAACUUAAUGUAUUCUUUGUUUUCAUGACAAAUUUUCAGCCAGAGAUUGAGCACUUGAAAAUUACAAUUUGAAAAUAUCUGACAACUACAAUUUUCAGUUUCGUGAUCUAUGUGAUGAAAUAAUAUUUCAGUUAAGGACCAAAAUUUCAGAAAAGCAUAUCAUUUAUAUGUCUAAUUUAGUAAGUUCUCAAACUAUAUAUCAUCAGAUGUUCUUGAAAUUACCAGAUGUAAUUAUAUGAAGGCAGUUUCUUAUGUUUGGUAUUUCAUUGUGACACAUCCAAUUUUUCUCUAGUGGGAUCAGAGACAAAUCUAUUCAAGGAGAAAAGAAAGGAGUUGAAGAGCUUUUACUAUCUUCCUCUUCCUUUUCUUUACCUCCUUCUUACUUCUUUCAUUCCUCUUGAUCUUUCUUUAGUAUAUACCAAAGUUAUUUUGAUUGUUUUUCUCAUUUUCUCUUUCAUUCAAAAAAUAGAUGUGAUUGUGUGUUUCUCGGUAAUUAAAGAUAGCACAAUUUGAAUAAAAGUCUAUAGCUGCAGCUUUUUAAUUAGAAACCUCCGAUUGACUCAUUUAUGAGUUUGAAUAUCUUAUGAUCACUGUUGAUAAGGAAUAAUUGCUGUGAUAGACCUUAAUGUCACCUAGAGUUUUUUGAGAUUGCUUAGCAAAUUAUUUUCAUUUCAUAAAUGGAUAUUGUUUUAAGAGAGGUGAGGUCAGAGAUUUGGCAGUGAAUAUUGAAUGAUGAUUAUUUGUGUAUCCCAGGAGGUCUGACCUUAAAUUGUCAUCAAGCUAAGUAGUGGUGAAAUUGAACUCUGCUUUAUAAUAGAAUGCUUACAGUUUCUGACAUUAUACCAUUUAAAGAAUUCAUUUGUGCAAAAAACUGUAUAUCUCUAUGGUGAGAUUUAAUUGAAUAUCACUUAAUCAUUUAAGUCAUUUUAGCUUUUGAUUCAAACUUUUCAAAAAUAUAAGUACAAAUAUCCAAUAUUCAAAAUUCAUUUAUAUACCUACUCUGAACAACAUCUGAAAUCUUAGCAGGCUUUCCUAGCGACUUCUUUUAUUUAAAAAAAAAUCAUGGAGAUUAUAUGCAAUGCACUAUAUCUAUAGCAUAAAGUGUUCAUUUUAUAUGAUAAACUGGGAAAAUAUAGCAAAUUAAAAAUACAAAGGAUUCACUUUAAAAGCAGUAAUUUCUUGAAGAACUUAUCUCCAAAGUUUGGAUACUUGAGAAAAUCUGCAUGGAGCAUGCAUUUCAGAUUCAUUGCAAACAUUUGAAGGUGUGUUUUUAAAAGUAGUCACUGCAAAGCCUUUUAUGAAAUCUGUACUGGGGAAUAAGGAAAUUGUAAGCUAUAAUGUCUAUUUAAAAAGAUUUAGUUUGGAGCUGCUGUAUUUCCUCUUAAAAAUAGCUUAAUGUUUUCCACAUAAAGAUAUUCUUCCAGGAUUUAUAUUGGGAAACAGUGCAUGAAAUAAUUUCAUUAAAUUUUGCUUUUGUGUUUUAAUGUUUUCCUGAUCAUCAAAAGUCAUUGCUUUGGAAAAAUGGCAAGUAGUAGAAUGAUCCUUUGUAUGCAUGAAUAACAUGGUAAUAUAUACUUCUUUUUAUCAAUUUGCAGUCUAUCACCAAAUAUUUGGCUGGCAUUCAUUCACAAUAUUUUUUAAAAAACUGUUCUUACCAUGCAACAUAAUUAUGUUUUAUUUCCUAUUUAUUACAUUUUGUUUAUUCUUUGAGGUAAAUACACAUUUUAAAGAAGGUUCUCAUACUUUCUUAAAUUAAUUUAGUAAAAUUAUUAUAAAGACAAUCUCAAGUCAUUUAAGUGUUGAAAUUGAAAUAUAUUUUAUUUGCACAUUUUUGGAGACUCCAUAUUUUAUUUAAAAUUAAAGUCUAACUGGGAUUUUGGUUAUCUUUGGAAUAUGUUAUGGAAUUUGACAUUAAGAAUAGGGUUAGGGUUACGACAUUUUAUCAACUUGUCUCUCCCAACCACGUAUGCAGAGAGAAAAGAAGGGAAAUUUGGAGCAAAGAGAUGAUAAAUAGCCAGGAAGAUAGAAGGAAGAAGUGAUAAAGGUAGGAAAAAGAGGGCAAAUUAAUAGGAGCAGGUAUGAGAAAUAUCUAAGCUAAGGUUCUCUAAGAUACACUACUAAUAAUCAUGGUAAAAUAUAACACAAGUUCCUAAAGAUUAACUCAUCUAUGAAAUUUUUAUUAGGACUUUACCAUCAAAGAAAAGAAUAGGAAUAUAUUGGGCAGGGAAAAGGGAGAAGACUGAGGUGCCAAGUAUCACACAAGUAUUCACCUGUUCCCACUUUGCCCUGGGGACAGCCUUCUAACCUGUGUAUGAAUGGGGAAAACUGGAUCUUGAGAGCGACAUCAGUUCCUUACGUACGACGUAAAUACCAGGGCAUGGACAUGGGAGGCCAGGAGAUUUCAGAAGGCCUUACAUGUGAGACUGGACACCUCGCCUUCAGCAGAAAUCCUGAGUUACUCUUAAUUCUAUUAUUUAUGUCUGCCUCUUCAACCUGUGUUACCAUUCCUACCUCAGCAAAAAGACAAGCUUGGGAAUCACUUUGCUGUCACUUAUUAGGUUUCCUUUAAAAUGCUCAUGAAUUACACAUGAAUUUCAAAGUUGCCAAGUGAGAUUUCAACUAAAAAAAAAAAAAAACUGGCAUUUUUCCAUUAUGAAGGUUGUACCCAGUGUUCAUGGUGUUUGACUUAAAGGGACAUGGCCACAUACAUCAGCAACUUGGCUUCCCUAAAUCAUUUCUUGUCUGAAUGCUUUUUCUAAAAACUUAGGAAGCUCUAAGAUUUAUAUAUGGUCAUCUAACAGCAGGAUCCAUUUAUCAACUGUAGCUUUAACAAAGCAUAAACUGAUUUGGCUCUUUUUGUGUUUAGUUAUGUGUAACAUAGUAAUUGAGUUGCAAUGUGUCUUGUUUUUAUUUUUUAGUGCUUUUUAAAAAUUAUUUUCCUCUUAGUAACUUCUCAUGCUUCUCUGUAAGAUUUUCCUUUCUCUCCUUUCUUCAUGUAGCUAUCUUCCUUUUAUCAUUAUAUUGUAUAUUCCUUUAGUUCAUGUGUCACCUAUCCUGUGUCUCUUCCUAUAUUCUUCAUUCUUAUUUUGCUUCUGCUUCAUGUAGUUUAUAUAGCUCCUCCGGCAACACUGUUACUAUUUCUUAAUAGAUGCUAUAAUUAUUUACUUGUGUCUUUUCAUUAUUUAUUUACAAAGUUGUUAAUGGAUUGAACUAUAUAUUUAGCUGUUCAACAUAUAUUUAUGAAGUGUUUACCCAAGGUAAGGUAUUAUCCUGGCUGAAGAAAAUUGACCACUCUGCCAUUGUGAAGUUUAAAAUGUGGAGAAAUAGAUGAUAGACAAUGAGCAACAUGAAUAUGCAAAGUAUAUUAAGACAAUGGGCAAAAGAUAAAACUGUGAUGGGGAUGAGAGAAUUAUGAGAGAAUAAUUUUUAGUUGGAUGCUCCAAAAAUAGCACACAGAAAAUCCAAAAUUUAGGAGUCCAAUGUGGUGCAGACUGAGUAAUACAGAGAUUUGGGGCAGGGACAUUCUUUGCAGAGUAUAGAGCAAAUAGGCUCACCUAGAACAGUAUCAUUUCUGGUAGUUUUCAGGAAAAGUGAAGUUAUUGUGGUUAUAGCAAAAUGCGUAGGGUAGGAGUAUUAGAAGAUCUGAGAGCUGCAGAAGAGGAGGGGAGGGAUGGGGAUUUUGUGGAGUCUUACCUACUAUUGCAGUGCCUUUGACUUUUAUUUGGAAUGAGGAAGAAACCUGAUAGGGAUUUUGAUUCUUUCUGGUAAUUUUUAAUGAUCACUUCUUAGAUUUCAGUAGUUUUGCUUUAUUGGAAUCAGGUAUAAACUAGUACAUCAAAGUAAUUUUACAUUCUAAUUUAAAUCAAUUAAAACAGGCUUUUAUUGUUUUAUCUUUCCCAUUACUGAAUCCCCCAGCUUUAAUUUAUUUGAAAUCAUUCUAUAAUAGUGAACCAGUGCAAAUUUUUCAUAAUGUAAAACCUAUUCUUCCUCGUAUUUAGGUACUUAAUUGAAGAUGCCAUUAGAAAGUUCACUUGUUCUGUUGAAAGAUGUUGAUAAAACUGUUUUUAAAUUACGAUCACAUCAUUUGGUACUUUAUUAGGUUGUGUUUCUCGAGCUCAAAUGUAGAUAGUGGUAAUGAAUUUGUACCUCAAAGUGGAUGACUUUUCUAUCUAGAAUCAAGGAUAUAUAUGCAAGUGGGAAAACUUAGUGAUUUCAAAUCUUGGCAAGUGAGAAUAAUCUAUAAGGUUAGUUUGUUAGUUUCUGGUGGAACUGUACUCUGGUAGGAAAAUGUGUCCUUCUAUGAGGCAAGCAUUUGAUCAAUUAUACUUUAUUUUUCACACUUUUUGUUUUCUACAAAAUAUGGUUUACAUGAUUUUCUUGGAAAGAUUAACCACUCAUGGUAUACCAGAAGAAGAAAUACUGAGGGAAGACAGUCAGGUACAUGUUAAUAUUGUUUAGAAAACUCAAGGAGAGAUAAGAAGGAGAAAAAUACACAGAGGUGAAGAGAAAUGGCAUAAAUUUAAAAAUAGGGAUAAGAAUUAUUAUCACAUAGUGAAUCCAUCUAUAGUAAUGAAGAUGAAAUUAACCCAAGUGUAUCAUGGGAAAGAUGUCUAUAAGGUUAUCAAGAAGGAGGAGGGAAAAAGGAAAAAGACACACAAUUACGUAAGCAAAUCAGUGCUGUGGAGGCUAUGAAGUGUGAAGAAGGUUAAGUGAUCUAAAUGGCUGAGUGUAACUGUCAAGUGGAAGAGGCACUGACCUAGCAUAGAGUGGUCAAGGACUUUUGUUUUCUUAAGGAAAUGGUUUUCAAUUAAAAUAGAAAUGAAGAGAGGGGUAAGUACUUAGAAGAUCUAGGAUGUUAUGAGUAGAAAACAAAGCAGAUAUAAAGUUUCUAAAAUAGAAAAUAGCUUGAUAUUUUCUUGGGAAGCCAAGAGUGCCUUCUUAGAUGGAAAAUCCAUGAAGAAAGGACACAGGCAUGUACAGAAACUCUCAGGAACCAAAUCGGGAUUUUGUAGGUAAAACUUGGAUGUAAAUUAAAUCCACUGAAACAUUCAAGGCUGACACGUAAUACGAUCAGGUUUACUCUUACAUAGCUUUCUCUGUUUUCAGUAUAGGUGAGGAUGUACAAUUAGGAAGAGAAAUAAUUUAUCUGACUACUGCAUCUAUACUUUAGGUAGCUAGAAUUAUGAUUGUAGUGAUGAAAUUGGAAACAAUAGUCGUUUGAGAUUAAAAGUUGUUUUGCAAGAAGAGCUGAUAGGGCUUAGAUCAAGAAUCAUACCAAAGUGUUUAAACAGGGGCAUGGUGGAUUAUGGUUACUUUUAUUGGAAAUGGGACUGCUUGAUGACAUGGGAUAGACUGCAAGUAGAUAGGCACAUACAUGUAAUUGAUUUUUACUUGUUUUUUUUUUUUCCAUGUUAAAUUGAGAUGUCUGUUGGAAUCUAAAUGGAGAUGACAUAUAGACACUCAGAAGAUAACAGAAAUGUAGUUGGAGAAUCCUAGGUGUAUAGAUUUUGUUUACAGUCAAAAGUCCAGGGCAAGGUUUAAAAAAUCACAACUCAGGAGACACAACUUGUUGGUCUGCGAACUGUUCUUGUAUGCUAUUUUUUUAACAUUUGUAAUUAAAAUGUAAAACAUACAAAAGAAUUUUGAUGAAAGCAGUCACUUAAAUUUGCCUUUUUUCCUCCUAAAGCCUACAAUAUUUGCCAUCUGAAUAUUUGCCACAGAUUUUAUAAUCUUUGGUCAGCAUAAAACCCUGUAAGAAAGGGGUAUUGCUAGAGAAAAUAAUAACAUAGUAGUGGAAAUUAAAAUUAUGUCUAGAACAGUAUUUAGAAUGGAGUAUUUAAGCAUGGAUAUAAUAGACCAUAGACAAUACAAUAACAACAAAUUAAUUAUAAACAUGAUCAAUAAAGACAUUAGCAGCAAUAAAGGAAAUGUCGUCAUCAGACUAUUCAGUCAAUGUCACAAGGAGUAGAGACAGGCAAGGGUGCUAUAUUCGAGAGUAUUUGAGAGAAGGCUUAAAUAGUUUCAACAACGAGAACAAAUGGAGGUUGGCAUUAAUUCUAGUCUGAGAUUUAAGGAAGAUCAAAAUACCUCAGGCUUUUAAAAGCGAUCUUUAAAGAAAGAGAACUUCAUUAUAGCAUUCUGUAAGGGGAAAGAACAAAUUCUAUCUUAUGGCAAAAGAUCACUCUGGCUACAUGUUAUGCCAAUGUGGAGGAACAAUUAAAUUAGCCAAGCAACUAGUGAAGCCAAGGUUCAGGUAACCUUGGCGAAAGAAAAAUUGGUAUAAAAUCCAUACUGGAAUGAUCAUAAAAGUGAACAGGAAGAAGAAUAUAGGUGUAAUGUUUGGUAAAAAUUUGUCAGACCUCCUGUCCCUUGUAGUGGGGUGGUUAAAAUAAGAAACUCCCAAUUUUGUGUUGUUUUUAUUUUUAAUUCAGAUUUAUAGAUCCAAUUUUGGAGAUUACGGUUUAAUAAGUAUAGAACCUGAAAAAACAAUUUAAUUGUCCUAGUGAACAAAAUAAAAUCAUGACUGUGAUGAUUGAUGCUUUGUAUUCUUCACUCCUUUAUUAUUCAUCAGCAUUUGGGAAGUUUUGCUCUAAUUCCAUGCAAAUCCAUCUGAUAAACUUGUUCUUUUGUGCUGCUUGAAUAUUUCCUACCUGUCACCUUUUAUAGUUCCUCACUUGUAUUGUUGCUUUCCUAUUUGGGCCUUUUUUAGUGAUCGACUGCUUUAUGCAGUGAUGUACUACUGUCAUGACAGUAGGCACCACAUUAUAUGGUAAGUAUGAUACUUUUCAAAAUCCCUCCCUUGAAUAUAUCCUCUUCCUGAAGCCUGAAGUUCCAAAUGUUUCGUUGAGCUGUAAUAAUCAUCAUAGUAAAAAAAAAUAGCUUUUCUGCUUUGUACAUGUAGUGGCUUCUAAUUUGAGUAUCUAUUUUCCAUACAUUAGUGAGCUCCUAUAUUAUGAAAAUAAAUUCUUACUUCCCAAAAAUACCUUUAAGUCUAAUCCUCACCAGUGAAGAUCAAUAUAUAGCCAAAAUGUAUUAAAAUAUUUCUUUACAUGUACUAUUUACAGCCUUUCAAAGGUGUUAGAAAAAUGAUUAAUUUUAGUUUGAAAGAAUGCACAAUCAGUAUUGAAAUGAUAAAAAUGUAACAUAUGAAGAGAUAAUAUUGUUAGAUUUAAAAUAGUUAUCAAAAAAACUAAGUAAUAUUUAUAUAUGUUUCUGAUUGGCAUGCUGAAUCAAUUUCAAGUCAUUUAUCAGUAUGGACAUGGUAGAAAGAGAUUUUAUUUCCUCUGGCUCAAUUCAUUGAUGGUUGCAAUGGCCAUGGCUGGGCCAGCCAGGCCAAAGCCAGGAGCCAGGAGCCAGGGGCUUCUUCCAGGUCUCCCAAGAGAAUGGCAAGGCCCUAAGCAUGUGGGCCAUCAUCUGCUGCUUUUCCCAGGCUCAUUAGCAAGGAGUAGGAUGGGAAGUACAGCAGCCUAGACAGGAACUUGAACCUACAUGGGAUGUUGGUGUCACAGGAGGUGGCUUUACCCUCUAUGCCACAAUACUGGCCACAAUAUAUUUAUCUUUUUACCAGAAUGUUUAAAUCAAUUAGAAAAUGGACUCUACAGUUCUCAAAAGUAGAUUCUUUGACUAGGAAUGAAAUGAUUUUACCACAAUCACUAAAAUACAUUUCUUUAGAAAUAUGAUUUUAUGUUGCUUCUUUAUUUUUAUUUUUAAAGAUUUAUUUAUUUCUUUGAAAGAUCAUGAAGAUCAAAACCAUUUUCAUAAAUUUAAAAUAACAUAGAAAGUAGUAUAAUUAUCCAUUACUUCCUUAAUAUGUGUCAAUUUUUUUCAAUUAGGUAGAAAAAACUGGCUUGCUUUAAAAUUAAUAGAUUUUACUUUUGAGCAGUUUAAGUUGACCAAAAGGAGUGAGUGAAUUUUUCUAUACACCCAUCAGUCUCCUCCAAUUUGUCCUAUUUUUAACUCUUAGCAUUAGUGUGAUACAUUUGUCAUGAUGAUGAACCAUUAUUGGUACAUAAUUACUACUAAUCUCCAGAGUUUUUAUUAGUAUUAACUUUUCAUGUUAUAUGUACUAUAGAUGUUGAAAAUGUGCAAUGGCAUGUAUUCACCUUUAUAGUAUCAUAUAGAAUAGCAGCUUCAUUUCCCUAAAGGCAUUUCAUGCUGUCUCUGUAUACUAUCCUACCUCACUUCAAUUCCCUAAAACAAACAACACAACGAUAUUCUAUGAUCUCUAUAGUCUUGCCUUUUUCAGAAUGCCUUAGAGUUGGAGUCAUAAAGCAUGUAGACUUUUCAUAUUGACUUCUUUCACUCUGCAAUAUCCAUUGAAAGUCCCAUUUUUUUUGUCUUUUUGUGAUUUGAUAUAAUACUAGUCUAUCAUCUAAAUAUAGUGGAAUUUAUUUAUCCACCAGUUGAAGAACAUUUUGUUUGCUCUCAAGUUUUGGCUAUUAUGAAUAAAGGUGUCAUAAAUAUUUGUGGCUGGCAUUUUAUUCUUUUUUGCUGUGUGAAUAUGAAUUAAAAUUUCAACUCAAUGUGUAAACAUCAAGGAAUUUGAAUGUUGGAUCAUAUGUGUGUUUAAUUCUGAAAGGGACUGCCAUAGUGAAUUCUAGGGUGACUGUAUCAGAUGGCAUUAAAUAGCAAGAAAUGAGAGUUCCUGUUGUUGCUCAUCCUCACUAGCACGUGAUGUGAUUAGCGUUGUACAGUUUUCGUUAUUGCUUUAAUUUGCAUUUCCUUAAUCACAGUGAUGUCAAGUAUCAUUCAGUAUGCUCAUUGUAUAUCUUCUUGGGUGAAUGUCUGUUGAGAUCUUUUUUUAAAAUAUUUAUUUAUUUAUUUGAAAGGCAGAGUUACAGAGAGGCAGAGGCAGAGAGAGAGAAUCUUCCAUCUGCUGGUUCACCCCGCAGAUGGCCACAAUGGCCAGAGCUGUGCAGAUCUGAAGCCAGCAGCCAAGAGCAUCCUCCAGGUCUCCCAUGUAGGUGCAGGGCGCCAAGGACCUGGGCCAUCUUCUACUUAUUCCCCAAGUCAUAGAGAGCUGGAUUAGAAGUGGAACAGCCAUGACUUGAACUGGCACCCAUAUGGGAUGCCGGCACUGCAGGUGGUGGCUUUACCCGCUAUGCUACAGUGCCAGCCCCCUGUUCAGAUCUUUUGACCAUUUUUAAACUGAGUUGUUCUUUUAUAAUUUGGGAUAUCAGAUGUUUAUUUGCUAUGCAUUUUGAAAAGCAAUUUUUUUCUCUGUGACUUUUCUUGUUCUCUUCAUUUUUCAUAAAGCAAAAGUAUUUAAUUUUGAUUUUACAGAAAUUCAACUUACCAAAGUUUCUUUGAGUAAACCUAGAAACUCAGAUUUUUGUCAUUUCAGACACUUAAUAUUCAGGCAAUGACUAAAUAGGUUCCCUUGAAACAAACAUAGUGUAUAAAAGCUCUUACCUCAAAACAACAAAAUACGGAAAUUAAAAAUGACUCAUCUCUUACUACUAUCUCUUCAGUUAUUCUUAGUUCAGGAACAGACAACUAAACUUUAUGAACAGACAUUCGUUUUGCAAUGAAAUACCCUAUGACACUUACAUAUCAAACCUUAAUUCUGUUCUACAUUAUUACUCUUCAAUAAAAAUGUAAGUAGCCAUAAAUGAAAAACCUUUGCAAUGUUGUGUGUAUGUGUGUGUGUGUGUGCGUGAGUGCGUGUGUGUUUGUGUGCGUUUAUAGCCAAGUGUCUCUUUCAGCUUUUUCAAUUCUCCCCUUGUUAUUUCUCUAGGAUGGUCAUUGUUAGUGUUUACAAGACUUUGUAAAUAAAAAUACAUCUCCAUCUCCACCCCCACUCCAGUCCGACAUGCUUCUGUGUUGAUGUAGUCAGCUGAAGGAAAGGUGAAGAGAAAAUCAUGUGUUACCCUAGGUUGAGGGGAAAGACUAAUUUAUUUACCUUGCCAGAGCUUGCUUCUACACUGUCUUUGUUCCACUUGAGGUGUGUAAGUUUUCUGUUCCCCCGGCCUCUCCAGCCCUAUCACCCUCAGUGAUGCAUAGUGCAGCCACACGUUUGUGUCUUUAUCAUACUCCUUCAUGGCUCAUGUCAGGGGUUGGAUGUAAGGAAGAAAAUGUAUUUUUGUUAUAUAGAACAUGGGGCAGAAUCAUAAGGUAGGUCAGGGUGCCAAUGGAUCUUGUUUUUGUCCUUAAAUCACCCACCCCUACAAUUCCUACCACAUGGAGGGCUAAAGCAGAUUUGUGAUUCAGUCUCAAUUAAAAUAUAAUAUUAAAAACCAGGAAAAUCUGCAUGAUCCACUUCAUUUUCUCCUCAAACUUGCUUUAACAGAGCAUUCCUAAACCACAACUAAUGUGUGUUAUCUCAUCAACCCCAACACAGUCUCCGAAGAAAAAUAGAUCAAUUUCGAGAAAAUUAUGUACCGUAUCUCUGCUUUGAUUUUUUUUAUCACUUUCUCCAGAAGCUCCAAGGAAAAUAAUUAAAAAUUAUCUCAAAUUGUAUUUUUCCAAGAUAUUUCAAAUAUUUAAAGGAACAUUUAGUAACAUCUUGAAAAGCUGAAAUUCUAUGAAAAAAAAACUUACAAGAUUGGAAAUUAUAUGCAACAAUUUAGUCAUGAAAAAUUUAAUACAGUGAUAUAAGCAAUUUUUAAAAGGUGUCAAUUAUAAAUAUGCUUUGCACUUUUUUGUGCAUGUGAAGUGCUUAGGAAAUUAUAAAAUCAAGAAAGCAAUGAAACACCUCUAAGUUAGAGGUAGGAAUGACACAGGGUGAAAAAUAAGCAGAAAGUAAUCCUGUAGAAAAAUCAAUAAAUUCUCCCUUUUGCCCUCUGUGUAUUUAUCUUUUACCUAGCACAAAUAGAAAUAAACUCACUGCUUGGUUUCUGUCACUGUGAAUGUCUAACUUAGCAGAAGCUAUAACAGAUACUCAAUAUGUACAACAAGAGAUGAGAUGUAGGUUUAACAUAAUUAUUUCAUUGAUUUGCAUGAGUACCAGUGAGGAAUUUCCACUUUAGCUAUUUUUUUCUAAGUAAGUGUUUAAUUGAAUUCCAGAAGUCAUUUUACAAUGGGAUAUGACCAGAAUAUAAAUUUGCUUGCAAGAAAACUUGUUUGUACACACGGGCUUGAAAGCAGUUUAAUGCUGCUCUAAGCCCUUCACAGACUUCCAUUUCUUACUUUAUGAAACAGAGAUAAUCUCAUAAGAUGUGAAGGACGUAAAAGAUAAUGCUUGUAAAGAUGCUCUGAGCUCUCAGAGUAGGCUCUAUUAACUUUAUUGUUGUUGACAUUUUGGGUCUACAAGGCUACCAUUUGCUGGCACUUCAAGUCUGACUCUGGAUUAGGUCUCUUGGUAUGGGAUACUCUGUUUAAGGGGUUGAGAACAGGCAGACAACAUGACAAUUCUAUCUUCCUAUGUGAUGCUGCUCUACUUCAGUGGACCCUUUUUGAACCUUUUCAAAUAGAUUUUAUCAUCUGUAAAAUGGAUUCCAACAUCAUGUGGUUUUAUUAGGACAGGUUAGUACACAGAAUGGGAAUGGACAAUACUAGGUACAUGGUUUGUGUUCAAGUAAAUGGAAACUAUUGCCUGCAUUUGUUUGUCACAGAAUCCAUCACUCUAUCCUAUAUACUUAGUCUUUAUGACACUUCCUAGCACAUGGUAGGUAGGAAAUCACUGUUAGUACCUCAGCUGCAUUGAGGUUAAUUAUAUUGAAUUUAUCUCUCUUCAGGUGAGAAUAUAUCCCAAGAUACCUAAUUUAACUGAGUCAAAGUUGAUAUUUCUUAUAAAUCAAAUUUGAUUUCUGAAUUUUCUCUGAUUUCACAGAGCAUAAAGAUCAAUACAUAAAGUGUGUAUUUCUGUCUCAGUCCUCCUAGCCUUGUAUUUGCUGGAGUAUGGAACCUAAUUUCUGAAUAUUUCUGCAGUGCCCUUCAUAAGAACUUCUCCAAAUAUCAUAAGAACUUCUCUGGAUGGAAAUCUCAGAAAACCUCAAAUGCAGCCUUUAAGAGCAUGUGGAUUGGGAGCCUUCCUCCUACACCCCUCCUGCCGUCAGAGCAGUAUCAGCCCAUGAAAAAGGCAGCACUUACACAUGUUUAGAGUUUCCAGAUCACCAAUUGUUAUCCCGUUAACCUCCUCUGAAAGCAUCCAUGGGGGUGUUUGAAUGUAUCUUUCACCCAGAACCAAAUGCAUAUGACUGUAAAAUUAUCUUUAUGUCUUCUCUUAUACUUACAAAAACUGUGGUACAACCAAUAGAAGUGGAUGAUUCACCUCAAAUUUGCCUAGUAUUUAUUUUCCAGCACAUUCCAAGCACUAGUAUCCAUGGCUAUGGAAAGACUAGUAGCUUAUUUUCACACAAAACGUGGUGAGUUUCUAUGUUUACAGAUAUACAAAGCUGGACUGAACCUUACUAUUGAUAUAAAUUAUAUAAGCAUAUAAAGUCCCAGUGCAAUACAGAUACCUGUAUAGACUCUCCUUACUUUUCUACUAAUAACUUCUCCCCUACCAUUUCUCUCACUAUUUUCUGAAGAUAAGCUAGGAAGUUUCCUUAGGCCACUUUCUCGCCAUAACAAAAUACUUAAGAUUGGAUAAUUUAAUAAAUAAUAGAAAUGAAUUUGGCUCCUGGUCCUGGAGGCUGGGAAGCGCCUGAGCGUGGUGCUGGCAUUUGCUUGCUAUCUGGUGGGGACUUUCUUUUUACGUCAUAUCAUUUCAGAGGGCAUCACAUGGAGAAGACAGAGCAAGCGUGCUAGGACUCAGAACUCUUCCUCCUCUUGUAAGGAUGCUAACGUCGUUAUGGGGGCCCCACCCUCAUUAAUUUAUUUAGUCCUAACUCAUCCAAAGGUCUCACCUCCAAAUACCGUCAAUUUGAGGAUUAAGUCGCCAAUCCACUUUUGGGGGACCUAUUCAAACUAGCAUUAGUGUGAGGACAGACAUUGCUAGUAAGGAAAUUAAUAAACCUGUACUAUAAGGUACAUAAUGAUGUAACAUGUAUUAAUAGGCAUAUUUUUGUUUUACAUAGAAAAGAGUUUCAGUAGCUGUUUUUAGCAUGUCAGUAAUUAGAUAAAAUAUUUUGUGCUCCAGGAAAAAGAUGGCUAAUAACUCUUAUAUAAUAAUAUAGAAAUUAGAUCAAUAAUUCACCAAACCUUUAAAUUUCAGUAUUAGGUAUUAAUGAGCAGAUUGUAUUUGCUACCAGGAAGCAUCAUUUUUUUUUAAUGUGAGAUAAAAUGAAGACAAAAACUCAUGUGUGUUACAGAAAUAUUUUAGAGAGCUUUAAAUCCUGGUGAAGAGCUACAGAAAAGGAAAUCAUACCAUCUUGUAUGUGAAUCGUUUCUGACACUUAAUUGCUGAAGGAGUCAAAUUAAUUAUUUUGUUAAGUCUCCCAAUUUCUCCAAUUUUACAAAGGGAAUGUGAAUAUUGAAAUGUGUCACAUAUAAAUCUUGAGUGACCGUUAUAUUGCAUAUACUAAACAAAUGUUUUUGAUUAUUAAUAUUUGCAAAUAAUCAUAUUAAACACUGUAUGUCUAUUACAUGUGAGAAGUGUGUUACAUUUUAUAUAAAUUAUUUCAUUUAACAUUAAGUAUGAAUGUUGAAUAUGAAGCAAGUACUAAAACAAACUGAAACAACAUUAUUUUCAUUAGUUUUGAAAAUGGAAGUCUUUCAGUUUAUAAGUGAACAUGGGACCAAGUAUGCUGCUAUCUGACACUUAUAAUUUAAAUCACACCUUGUAUUUUGCACAAUAAAUCAAUGGUGUUGCCUUCUCAGGAUGAAUGCAAAAGUUUGAUAGAGCUUUUGACACUUGACUAUGGAAGUUGUCUGCUAGUCACCUUUCAACCUUGCCAGCAAAUCUAAUCAGCUUAAGAGCAUUUUAAUGUACCUAUGUAAGUCCUCAGAAUUUAAGAUUAGGAGGGAAAGCAGGUCUUGUGACCUUCAUAAGUAGCACGCACUGGUUACUCUGGAAAUGAUAGAAUUAGCUUAAUUUAAGCUGCAAUUUGAUGGAAAUGUUUUCCAGCUUAAAGCCAGAUACUCUCCUAGAGCCUAUAAAGUGAGGAAGGUUAUAUGCUGUGCAUUUCUAAUGCAAUAAAAAUGCAGUUGAGUCAAACAAAAUCAUUUUGUCAUCAGUAAUCAGGAAGAGGUUGCCCUAGAUGUUUUAGAUUCCAAUUUUUAAUUUAAUGAGAAAGCUUAAGUGUACAGUAGUGUAGAGUAUACGCGACUCAGCUCUUUUUACUUAGGAAAAAAAGUGCAAUAUUUUAUUUCUCUCUGACCUUGAGUCAAAGCUUUAGAAGUAUGUGAAGAAUCUAAUCCUCAGUGGAGUGGGGGUGAGCUCAAAGGAGAAAACAGGGGAAGGAUCUGCUUUUCACAUGACCAGAUGGUAAUUUUUACUAGUUGGCAGUGUUCUAAAAGGCACAUUUUCUGAAAGGAAAGUGUAUAUUAUAGACUGGCAUAACUAAAUGUGUAAAAACAUCCCCAAAAUAGAUAAAAAAUAUUCUUUAGCUUUGAAGUAAAGUUAUAAUAAACUUAUAUAGUAUAUAGCUCUCUUGGGUUAAAGAAAAUAAUGGGGAUUAACUGUGCAACCAGAGGCCUGAGGGAUUGGAACUCAGUUGGUAGUAACUAACAUCUGACAUUUUGUCCUUCAGGUCUUGAAUUUUCUCCUUAUAUGCCAGGUCCAGGAUGCAAAAUAAACAAGGUGUAAUGCUUUAAUAUUAACAGCCUUCUCAUCCUACUGACAUGUCCAUCAGUCUCAAUAGCCCAUACACCAGGUUUCUCAAUUAAAUUUAUGGUAUUAAAUAGACUCCAGUCAUCACAGGGUAGACUUUCUGAUGUCUGCAAAAUUAUUUAUCAAAUAGUUCAUUUCAGUUCUUUAUGCAUGUCAAUAGAGUUGCAAUGGCAUUACUUGAAAACCAUCAAAACUCACUUGACAGAAGUUUAAAAAAUGCAGCUAUUUGGUUACUAAUUAACCAAUAGCCUACAGUUAGUUCCAUUUGUUUUAAUUUUGGCAUGAUUAUUCAAAUAAGACACAAUAACUGUGCCUAAUCCCCUGAUAAUUGAUAUAGUGAAUCUGUACCACAUUGUCCACUCCUAAUUACUUUUCUUUUAAUGUAAUCAUUUACCCUAGCAUGUUUAUAGCUCAUCUUAUUCAUACAGUCUAGUAGUAUAGAACUGCAAUAAUAAAAUUAGCCAAUAUUUUUCUGCAUGCUGUAUAUUUUUGGUUAUUUCCUUGAAAGGCAGAGAGACAGAGACAGGCAAAGAGAGAUCUUCCAUUUGAUGGUUUAUUACUCAAAUGCCUGCAAUAGCCAGGGCUGGGCCAGGUUGAAGUCAGUUGCCUAUAACACAAUCUAGGUCUCCACAUUGGUGUCAGGGACUCAACUACUCAAGCCAUCCCACGGUGUGCAAGAAACUGUAAUUCGGAGCAGAGCCAGGAAUUGAGCUGAGGUACUAAGAUAUAGGAUGUUGACAACCCAGGUGGUGGCUUAAUCACUAUGCCAAAUAGCCACCCCUGAUUUUUUUUUUAAUACUAGCUAUCUUAAUGGGUAUAAGGUAACACAAAAUAAUUGUACUUUUGAUUGUACUAAUGAUUUGAUUGUACUAAUGAUUAAUGAUGUUAAGUUUCUUUCCAUGUGACUAUUAGUCAUUUGUAUUUCUUCUUUGGAGAAAUGUCUAUUCAACUCUUUUGCCAAUUUUUUAAACUGUUUCUUUUAUCUUGUUGUUAAGUUUAUUUUUAUUAUUCAAAAAACCUUUUAGCUUAUAUAUAAAAAUUGCACAUAUUGAUGUGGGCAUUUGGUAUAGUGGUUAAGAUUUUGCUUAGAAUACCUGCAUCCUAUAUCAGACUAUUAAGCUAUGAGUCAGCUCUGAUCUUGAUUCCAGCUUCCUGUUAAUGUGCACCCUGGGAGGUAGCAGAUGAGGGCUUAAGAAGUUAGGUCCCCUCCACCCACAGGGAGAUAUCAAUUAAGUUCUUGGCUCCUGGUUUCAACCUGGUCCAGCCAUGGCACUUGCAAGAGUUUGGGGAGUGAACCAGCAGAUGGGAGAUCUCUGUAUGAUAUAUCUAUCUCUGUCUUUCAAAUACAAUCAGUAAGUAAAAAAUUAAAAAAAAAUGUUUUAUUUAGGGGAUGCCACAAAAUUUUUUGAUACAUAUAUAUCAUGUGAAAUAUCCAAUAUGGGCAAACAUA